AGCAGCCGCGGUAAUUCCAGCUCCAAUAGCGUAUAUUAAAGUUGUUGCAGUUAAAAAGCUCGUAGUUGAAUUUCGGGGUUAGCAAGUUGGUCGUGCCAAUGGUAUGUACUGGCUUUGCUGAUUCCUCCUUCUUGUAGAACCGUAAUGCCAUUUAGUUGGUGUUGCGGGGAAACAGGACUGUUACUUUGAAAAAUUAGAGUGUUUAAAGCAGGCUAACGCCUGAAUACAUUAGCAUGGAAUAAUGAAAUAGGACGAGCGAUCCUAUUUUGUUGGUUUCUAGGAUUGACGUAAUGAUUAAUAGGGAUAGUUGGGGGCAUUAGUAUUCAAUUGUCAGAGGUGAAAUUCUUGGAUUUAUUGAAGACUGACUACUGCGAAAGCAUUUGCCAAGGAUGUUUUCAUUAAUCAAGAACGAAAGUUAGGGGAAUCGAAGACGAUCAGAUACCGUCGUAGUCUUAACCAUAAACUGUGCCGACUAGGGAUCGGAUGAUGUUAAUUUUUAAUGACUCAUUCGGCGCCUUAA
rnacentral:rRNA from 1 species